UCUGCCUCAGAACAAAAACACCUAACAGGAGCCUCUACUCCUUCACCUGGGAUGGAAAGAAAAUGAGCCCCACACAGGAUUAAUAGGAACAUGGAUCAGCCCCAGCUGACGAUGCAAGCAUUGUACUGAUGCAGCUGCCUAUAGGGUUGGGCAGUCCUUCAGCUUGUGGAGAUGCCAAUCCCCCGCCAAGCCUCCAAUAUAACCAACACCUGCAGUGACCAGUGUGCAUCUGUCUUGCUGCUGUGCUGUGAGGCUGUCAGCUCAAUUCUUGUCCCUGCCUCCUUCUCCACUGCAAGCUGCUGGACCAGCAUAUUUGUCACAUAUAGGAACAGCUGUAUCUGUGAUUCUACUGUCUGUCACUACAGUUCUCAAAGGCACAGGGGUCUUGCUGGAAUAAGAGAG